UGGGGAAUCAUGGUCAAUGGGCGAAAGCCUGAACCUGCGACGCCGCGUGAGUGAUGAAGGUCGUAAGAUCGUAAAACUCUUUUCAGGGAUCUUAAAGCCUGUCUGUCAACAACAGGCAGGUCUGACUCUCCCUGGAAGAAGCCCCAGCCAACUACGUGCCAGCAGCUGCGGUAAUACGUAGGGGGCAAGCGUUGUCCGGAUUUACUGGGCGUAAAGCGCACGUAGGAGGACUGAAAAGUUGGAGGUGAAAUCCCAGGGCUCAACCUUGGAACUGCCUUCAAAACUAUCAGUCUGGAGUUCGAGAGAGGUGAGUGGAAUUCCGAGUGUAGAGGUGAAAUCCGUAGAUAUUCGGAGGAACACCAGUGGCGAAAGCGGCCUCCUGGACCAUUCCUGACACUCAGACGCGAAAGCUAGGGUAGCAAACA
rnacentral:rRNA from 1 species